rnacentral:rRNA from 1 species
UACGUAGGGUGCAAGCGUUGUCCGGAAUUAUUGGGCGUAAAGAGCUCGUAGGCGGUUUGUCGCGUCUGCUGUGAAAACUCGGGGCUUAACUCCGGGCCUGCAGUGGGUACGGGCAGACUAGAGUGCGGUAGGGGAGACUGGAAUUCCUGGUGUAGCGGUGAAAUGCGCAGAUAUCAGGAGGAACACCGGCGGCGAAGGCGGGUCUCUGGGCCAUAACUGACGCUGAGGAGCGAAAGCGUGGGGAGCGAACAGG